rnacentral:lncRNA from 1 species
AAUGCAAGUGUUUAACAGAUGCUUCACUAUUAAAAUAUUUUCCCCCCAAGUCUCAAAUAUUGAAGAAUCUCUAACCAGGGACACCAGUCCCUACGAAGACCUUGGGCGAUUUUGAAGUGCGGGCACCUCGAUUCCCCGAAUCUGUAGUGUGGCUGGUAUCGGUGUUCCCCUGGUUUAACUAGCCUGUUUGAAGGCACAGAUCAUUCAUGGGGAUGUAUAACCGAAACCAGUCCUCUCCACCGCCUGGGGAUCUUCACUUUCGCAGUCUACGACUGCCUGUGACUCCAGAAAGACAAACUGCAGAUUGGCCAAGAGAUCCUGGCAAAUGGGUGUUUCUUCCCAGAAAGGGAUUUUUCUCCAUGACUGCAGUUGAAUUGCAGAGUUGUAGAGACAUCCAGGUUCUUGUUAGUGUGGACGAACUAUCCAUGAAGAUCUUAAAUGCAGGAGUCUAUGAGAACACCAAUUAAUCAAUUGUCAAAUAUUUGAGUAUCUAUUGUGAGCAAGGCACUGUAUAACCAUUAUGUCAUGUAUUAAUCUAUUGGAAAAUAAUUUGACCUUGGUUGUAUAGUAUUUUGUUUAUUUUUACCUUAAAUUUUGUAACUCUAUUAUAAGUGUUUACAUACCAACUAUUUGAGGGCUGUAUGCAAGGUAUAGUUUUAUUGUACUUUGCUUCUUCUGUUACAAUAAAGUACAAGUACAGUAAAAUAAUCA